AACGAACGCUGGCGGCAGGCUUAACACAUGCAAGUCGAGCGCCUCGCAAGAGGAGCGGCAGACGGGUGCGUAACGCGUGGGAACGUACCCUUAUCUUCGGAAUAGCUCUGGGAAACUGGAAGUAAUACCGAAUGUGCCCUUAGGGGGAAAGAUUUAUCGGAUAAGGAUCGGCCCGCGUUGGAUUAGCUAGUUGGUGGGGUAAAGGCCUACCAAGGCGACGAUCCAUAGCUGGUCUGAGAGGAUGAUCAGCCACAUUGGAACUGAGACACGGCCCAAACUCCCACGGAGGGAGGAGGGGGGGAAUAUGGAAAAAGGGCGGAAGGCGUAACCCCCCCCGCCCGGGGGAGGAAGAAAGCCUUGAGGGUGGAAAAGCUCUUUCACCGGAGAAGAAAAUGACGGUACCGGGAGAAGAAGCCCCGGCUAACUCCGGG
rnacentral:rRNA from 1 species